rnacentral:rRNA from 1 species
ACACGACUACAUUAGAUACCCGGUAGUCCAGGGUGUAAACGCUGCGGGCUUGGUGUUGGGGGUCCUUUGAGGGCGCCCAGUGCCGGAGAGAAGUUGUUAAGCCUGCUGCUUGGGGAGUACGUCCGCAAGGAUGAAACUUAAAGGAAUUGGCGGGGGAGCACCGCAACGGGAGGAGCGUGCGGUUCAAUUGGAUUCAACGCCGGACAACUCACCAGGAGCGACGGUUACAUGAAGGCCAGGCUGAUGACCUUGCCUGAUUUUCCG